rnacentral:misc_RNA from 1 species
AGCAGCCGCGGUAAUUCCAGCUCCAAUAGCGUAUAUUAAAGUUGUUGCAGUUAAAAAGCUCGUAGUUGAAUUUCGGGAUUGGCGCAUCGGUCGUGCCUCACGGGGUAUGAACUGGUGCAGUCAAUUUCUCACCUUCUGGAGAACCGCGAUGUCCUUAAUUGGAUGCCGCGGGGAACCAGGACCUUUACUUUGGAAAAAUUAGAGUGUUUAAAGCAGGCAUUUUUGCUUGAAUACAUUAGCAUGGAAUAAUAAAAUAGGACGGCAUGGUUCUAUUUUGUGGUUUCUAGGACCACCGUAAUGAUUAAUAGGGAUAGUUGGGGGCAUUAGUAUUCAAUUGUCAGAGGUGAAAUUCUUGGAUUUAUUGAAGACUAACUACUGCGAAAGCAUUUGCCAAGGAUGUUUUCAUUAAUCAAGAACGAAAGUUAGGGGAUCGAAGACGAUCAGAUACCGUCGUAGUCUUAACCAUAAACUAUGCCGACUAGGAAUCAGACGAUGUUAAUUUUUAAUGACUCGUUUGGCA